UGCAUGACUCUUGGCAACGGAUAUCUAGGCUCUCGCGUCGAUGAAGAACGUAGCAAAAUGCGAUACUUGGUGUGAAUUGCAGAAUCCCGUGAACCAUCGAGUCUUUGAACGCAAGUUGCGCCUUAGACCAUCAGGUCAAGGGCACGCCUGCUUGGGCGUCACGC
rnacentral:rRNA from 1 species